rfam:Magnaporthe poae ATCC 64411 unplaced genomic scaffold supercont1.28, whole genome shotgun sequence.
GGCAGGAUGGCCGAGCGCUCUGAGGCGCUAGCUUCGGGAUGGCCUUGCGAUGAGACGUUCGCCCCUCCGAGGGCUGUGCUUGUUCUGCUACUCACGCAAGUGGCGUGGGUUUGAAUCCCACUCCUGUCA